CUUUAAACAAAAAACUCUAAUUAAACAAGUGUGAGAGGGGAGGUUGAGAGCAUAAAACAGUAGAGAGAGAGAGAGUGACGCACUAGAAAAAUGCGUGUUCUGUGUGCGUAUCAAAGAAGAAAUCGCUUCUUCUUAAUAAGCUCUUAAAUUGUUGCUUCAAGUCCCAUAACUAAAAAUAGUAGCUGCUGUACCUAAACAAUGACUCGAUUCAGAUCCCAAUCUCUCUAACUGUCCAAUCAAUGAGAAAGUCUCCAUGCUGGGCCCUUAGCCCAGUGGGCUACCGUGAAGGCUUCUCGGCAUGAUUUCAUGCCAGUCGAACCAGCCCGGUCCUUCGGCCUAUUUCACAAGCAACUGGCAUAUAUGAAAAUAGACUCUGUGUAAUGGCACACUGCCAGCUUUCCAUCUUUGGCAUUCAUAGAUACCCGGAUCAAUCUUUGCACCCUCCGACUUGGCAUAUGCAUUUCUAUACCAUGCCAAAUAAGUUCAAGGCUAUUCGGGGUGUCUGAAAAAAUGUAUCUUCCAUGAACUAGUAUUGCAGAAUAGCACUGCAUAACUACAGGGCACUUUGGUGCUCGACAUUCUUAUCAGAAACAUAUGAACUUUUGUUUUUCGUUCCCUUCUUCCUAGUUUUACUAAUAAUUAUUCAUUAUUUAAUUUGUUCUAAAUUAAUAUAAUAAUUAAAUGUUAAAACUCAUAAAAUUAGUAAAUAAAAAUUACAAAAAAAAUGAAAAUGACACUCACUCACUCUAUCCAUUUAAAACACCGCUUAGUUUGAAUUUUUGAAAGAGUUUACCAUAUUUAAAAUAAUCUAUAAAGGACAUUUUUUGUAUAAUCUAAAAUAUUAUCCAUUUUACCUGAUAAAAGCAUGAAACAUAAGCUAAAUCACACGAAAGAAUUGUUGAAAUUUUGAAAAUUCUUUUCUGCAAUUCAGUAUGACUAUGUAUGCAAAGUUGAGUGAUGUUUUCAGGCUAGAUUCGGGUUUAUGAUUUGUUUUACUGCUGAAAAAUAAAUUCUAACAUUUUUAAACAUGUUGUCCUAAUGAUUGAUUAUGAAUUUAUAAACAAAAAAUAAAAUAGAAAAGGAAUUAGAAUGGAGAACAAACGCUUACCUAAACAGAGGCCUUGUUCAGGUGCAGCAGCUAUUAUUUUAAGUUCUAGGACUUGUAGCAAAAAUUUAGUAGCUAAUCUUCCAAAUAAAAAUUGUCUUAAGAAACCAAAAAACUAGAAUGAACAAAUCAAAAGAGGAAGAAAUGACUCACCUCAUCAACAAGAAGUAAUUUCUCCUCUGAUACUCACACAGAACAUGUGUUCUGUUCUGUGCGUUACUCUCUCUCUUUAUUAUUUUCUGCUUUCAACCUCCCCUCUCAUUCCCUUGUUUAACUCGAAUUUUAGGUUUGAAGAAGAUGAAGACGAAGUUGUGAAGAGAAGGAAGACUUUAUCAAAAUUUACCAAACAUCUCAGUCAUCUAAACACAUGCACGGCGUCCCAACCAUUGAUAUAUUGGAUGGCUGACCACAACUGGCAAAGAUGGCAAGUUUUCUUAACACCUAGUCUGUCAUCACAGCAGCUCACCAUGUCGCUCGGUCCUUGCCACAACUUGGAACAGUGAGUGGUGUAAAUCAGAGGCAACCAAUCUGCCCGAGUGUUAAUCAUUUCCUGCGGCAAGCUACUCAAAUUAAUUUCUUUUAUUUGUAUUUUAUUUUUUU